GAGGUUCGAAAAUUUGAAUGACACAGCAACACCUUCCUUCAUCGUUACUUCCACCAGUGUGAUGUUAGAAAGCAAGGAGGGGUGACGUGCUGCCAGGGACUCCUACAGGUACUGGAUUCAAGAAUUUUUGCACGUGAGAGCCGUGUCGUGGUUUCCAAGGAUAGCAACUCCGUCAUUCCAUCCUCUGACCAUUGCCAACUCCAGGAGAAGGAACACGCGAAAUGAUUGGUGGUGGUGGUUACAAGUUCCUACAAAAUAGCAGCUGAUCUUUCGAGUUUACUGGUGAGUAUUACAAAUUCUUGUAAUUCACCACCACGGUCGCCUGUUGGUCUCCCAGCCAGUCUUC
rnacentral:lncRNA from 1 species